CCUACGGGCGGCAGCAGUGGGGGAUAUUGCACAAUGGAGGAAACUCUGAUGCAGCGACGCCGCGUGAGUGAAGAAGUAUUUCGGUAUGUAAAGCUCUAUCAGCAGGGAAGAUGAUGACGGUACCUGACUAAGAAGCCCCGGCUAACUACGUGCCAGCAGCCGCGGUAAUACGUAGGGGGCAAGCGUUAUCCGGAUUUACUGGGUGUAAAGGGAGCGCAGGCGGUUUGGCAAGUUGAGAGUGGAAGCAGGGGGCUCAACCCCCUGACUGCUCCCAAAACUGUUAAACUUGAGUAUGGGAGAGGCAGGCGGAAUUCCUAGUGUAGCGGUGAAAUGCUUAGAUAUUAGGAAGAACACCGGUGGCGAAGGCGGCCUGCUGGACCAAAACUGACGCUGAGGCUCGAAAGCGUGGGUAGCAAACAGGAUUAGAUACCCGGGUAGUC
rnacentral:rRNA from 1 species